CAGUCGCCACGGUAAUACAGAGGGUGCGAGCGUUAAUCGGAUUUACUGGGCGUAAAGCGUGCGUAGGCGGCUUCUUAAGUCGGAUGUGAAAUCCCUGAGCUUAACUUAGGAAUUGCAUUCGAUACUGGGAAGCUAGAGUAUGGGAGAGGAUGGUAGAAUUCCAGGUGUAGCGGUGAAAUGCGUAGAGAUCUGGAGGAAUACCGAUGGCGAAGGCAGCCAUCUGGCCUAAUACUGACGCUGAGGUACGAAAGCAUGGGGAGCAAACAGGAUUAGAUACCCCAGUAGUCCCUGUCCUUAUACA
rnacentral:rRNA from 1 species